CCAACCCUGUUCCUGGAGAGCUACUGUCCUGUAGGUUUCCACCCCAACCCUGUUCCUGGAGAGCUACCCUCCUGUAGGUUUCCACUCCAACACUGUGUCCUCAAGACUCUUGUUAAUGUCCCUGUUGACUUGGUGUCCUUGUUAAUGUCCCUGUUGACUUGGUGUCCUUGUUAAUGUCCCUGUUGACUUGGUGUCCUUGUUAAUGUCCCUGUUGACUUGGUGUCCAGUCCACCCCCAACCUGACCCCACCCUAAAGUGUACAUGGUUUGGGUUCAGUAUGCUCAUUGAGUCUCUGGUCACUUAUUUUUGUACCUCAGAACACUGUGUCAUUAAUCGCGGUAAAGCAAUCGUUAUCAUUAUUGUCUUUAUUUUUGGGAGCAGAGAGCCGAUGGGGUGACUUGUUUAUGAAUUGGCUGAAACAUGUAGUCUGGUCCCCGAUCUGUUMGUGCUUUCAUGUCAACUCCUUGUCCUGCUAAUGUUUGAUAUGACAAGGAGUUGACCUGUUAGCACAAAUAAAUCUGGGGCCAGGCUAUAAAACAGGCAUAAGUCCUCUGUUUUCUCUGGUAUGCUUUAAUGUCAAUAAUAAUGUGUACAUACUGUUUUAUAAUUACUGUCUUAACGUGUUUUGAAGAUGAAGAAUGUUCUUAAUAAACCUGAGAUUUUUCUGUUUU